ACGUUGAAAAAAAAAAUUAAAAAAAAAAAAAAGCAUGCAUACUAGAUGAUUGUAUGUGUAUCAAGUUCAAAAGCGGGCAACGCUCAUUGAUGAGAAAAAUCAGAAUAGUGGGUAUGUGUAGUAGGUGGUAUUGACUGGAAGAGAGAGCAAAGAAACUCACGAUAUGCUAACUAAUUUGGAUGUAAAUUUUAAAAAAUAAAAAAAAAAUUAAUAAAAAAAAAGAAGUCUUCUGAAGGACCGAGAAUGUUCUAGAUCUUGGUCUGGGCAGUGAUUACAUCGGGGUGUGCACAUCACAUAGUCAUCAAGCUAUAUUCUUGCAACGCAUGUGCUUUCUAACUUGACUGUCAUCAUCUUGUGGCUUAAUUAGAAAGAGAGAAGACAGGACGAGGCAGAAGAGAGGCUUGAGCCAUGCUGAGGAAUUGGUGUCCAGACUGGAAAGCACACAUUGGCAGCCAGCUAUGGAGGGUAGCAUGUGCAUGUGCAUCUGAGAGUGUGGAAGGACUCAUCUCCCCAAGUUCCCCGAGGUCGUGCAGGGACCUACGCUCACAGGGGGGAGCGGUGGGGGAUGCUUUGCUGCAGGUCCUAAGUAGUGGCAUCACUGUUCCCUGGCCCAAAAGCCUGAAGAAAGGGCUGGCAAGCCAUCCCCUCUCCGUGCCUUUGCGGAACCUGGCACAUAGUAGGUACUCAGUUAAUGUGCACAGAGGGAGGGAGGGGUAGAACCCACAUCCUCCCUCUCUUCACAUCCUCCCAGGACAAGAGUCUGAGUGGCAAAGCACAGCACUCUUUUUUGUUUGUUUUGUUUUAUUAGGAUAAGAACACUUAACACGAGACCUACCCUGUUAACGCAUUUUGAAGUGUAUGAUACAAUAUUGCUAACUGUAGACACGGUGUUGCACAGUAGAUGUCCAGAAUUUAUUCAUCUUAAGUGAACGUUAUACCUGUUGAUUGACAACUCCCUUCCCCCGCCACCAGCCCCCGGCACCCACCAUUCCACUCCUUGAUUCCCAUGACCCAGCUUCAACAUCGUCAACCCAGGGCCAGUCUUGGUUCAUCCCAAACCCCACCCACUGCCCCACCACUGAGGAUUCUUUUGAAAGAACAUCCAGACAUCAUAUCAGUUCAUCUGUAAAUUCUUCAAUAUAUAUUUCUAGAAUGCAAGAACUUUUUGAAAAAUAACCACAAUCCAUUAUAAUGCAAAAAAAAAAAAGAUUGUUUAAUACGAAAUACUGUCUACUUAGUGUUCAGAUGUAGCCAGUUGCCUCAUAAAUUUGUGGUUUGAAUCAGGAUCCAAAUAGGGUACAUGUUGCAGGUGGUUGAUUUGCCUGCUAGGUCUCUUAAAUUGUAAGAUUCUCCUCUCCCCACCUUUUCCUUGCAAUUUAUUUGGUGAGGAAACCAGAUCAUUUGUCCUAAAGAGUUGCCACAGUCUGGAGUUUGCAUCCGCAUGGUGCCAUUUAAUGUGUCCCUCUGUUCCCUGCACUUCCUAUAAACUGGCUUGAUCAGAUUCCGGUUCAGGGCUUUGGCCAAGAAUUCUAUUUGGCGCCGUUAAGAUUGGUCAGAGGCUCAGAUGCCUGAUAAGAUGUUUCAGGCUCAGCUUGUACUUUUUUCCCCCCAGAACCUGGGAGCCACCAUUUCUCUGAAGAGCAUUAGUUUCUCUUAGUAGUAAAUGAUCAUUUAAAGACCACAGUCUGAGCUCUCAGCUGUUCCGUGAUAUUGAGUUAGUCCCUGAGUCAGCAGAUAGAGCUAGGAAGUACUAAGAAUGAAUGAAUGAAUGAAUUUAUGAAUGAGAGAGAGAGAGGAAGAGAGAGAGGGAGACAGAGGAAGAGAGAGGGAGGGAGGAAGAGGGAGGGAGGGAAGAAGGAAAGAAGGAGGGAGGGAGGGAGUGAAGGAAGGAAGGAAAGAAGCAAGAAAGGAAGAAAAGGAAGGAAGGAGGAGGGGAGAAGGAAGGAAGGAAGGAAAGAAAGAAGGAAGGAAAGGAAGGAAAAAAGGGGGAGGGGAGAAGGAAGGAAGGAAGGAAGGAAGGAAGACCACUGACAGGGUGUACCUAGGAACUGCUCCUCUGCCUACAUCCCUGCUGCUACAGAAGGGUGUCCAAGGCCAGACAAGUAGUUCCCUGCCAGCCCCACAGAGUUCAUGGAUCCUGAGGCAAGCAUGGGGGGCACAGGACUUCUGAUCUAUUCCUGGUCCGUCUCAAGCCAGGGGACCUACCAGUUACCUCUCACCAUGGAAAACUGGCAAGGCAAGUUAUCCGAGAGAAUUGGCUUGGCACAGCUGGCCCCACAGUGCCCUCAAAUCACCCCUCUGUGUUCUCACAAUUCAUCUGAGAAUGGGCCCCUAUCCAGGUCUCCUCUUCCCAACAGCCUUCCAUGAUUGUGCCCACUUCAAAAUGGCCUUAUCUCAUACCACUCUCCCCUUCCCCUUCUGUGUUCCAGUGAUCCUAACUUCUGUGUUGGCCUCCAGCGUCUCAGGUUCCCUGCUGCCUCAGGGCCUUUGCACAUUCCCUUUCCACUGUCUGGAAUUCUUUCGUCAGAUGGAUGCAUGGCUCACUGCCUCACAAGGUCUUCAGGUCUCAGCUCAAGUGUGCUUUAUUAGGCUUGUCUGACCCUUUAGAGUAUAGCAAAGAGGUCUGCUGGUGGCAGAGGUCCCAGCCUCUCUUGACAGAGGAGCUAUUGAAAGCCACCGAGUGAGACGUUGAGAGAAGCGGCAGAGAGAAAGCAAGUCUAGGGCUGGGAAUUCCUUCUCUCCUAACCCUGCUGGCAAGAAGAUGCCUGAAUAUCUAAAUGAAUGUGGUAUUUUUUUUAAUGUUUAUUUAUUUAUCUCAGAGAGAGAGAGAGCAGGGGAGGGGCAGAGAGAGAGGGAGACAGAGAAUCCCAAGCAGGCUCCACACCAUCAAUGCAGAGCCCAAUGCAGGGCUCAAACUCACGAACCCACCACGAGAUCGCGACCUGAGCUGAAAUCAAGAGUCAGAGGCUUUACUGACUGAGCCACCCAGGCACCCCUGAAUGUGGUAUUUUUAACCCCGCCCUACCUCUCUGGCCAGAGAGAAUGGCUGCCUGGGGAUGGAAAAGUGACUCGUGAUGGAGGGGGUGGGAGAGGGGGCAGGCUGGGGUGCAGCCUGAUAUUUCAUGGUCGGCUGCAAGUUAUGAGCAAGGCUGGCUGUGAAUUCUGACGUUCUGCCAAGAACAAGUUUCCUUCUGGUGAUGCCAGAAGAGUGUUGUUAAUCACACAGUCCGCCCCAUGGCUUCAGAGCGGUCACUCCUCAGCGAGGCUUGGCCACAUCGGUCCAGCUGCAGGCCUAGCUGGCUCCUCAGUAGCAUCUCCUACACCUGGACGUCGCCGGUCCUUAGGAGAGGGGACUGGCUUGUGGUCAUCAAGGCCCCAAACACAAACCUCACAGGCUGUGUCAGUGUCCCCAACCAUGUGUGGGCCAGGCUGGCCCAGCCAACAUACCAUAGGAGAAACUUAGCUGCCGACAAAGGAGAGGCCCUGCCUUUUAUGACUGGUGGACGUCCAGCCCUCCCUGGACAUUAGGUGAGGCUCCUGACAGAGGUGACCCAGUAUAGGGAAUGGGGAAGGGCAGGUGGGAGCAAGCCUGAUGGACGCUCACGUGAGAGCAAGGUCAAGGAGAAGAGAGAAGCAAGCAGGAGUUGUUUGUGGUCUGCGUCAUCUCCCACCUGCGUUCUUACUGCCUCUCCUCACAGGCGCCUAAGUACAACCCCUCAGCCCCUGCUCUGGGUCAGGCACCUGUGUUCUCGGCCAGGCUGGAAACAGCCAUCAAUCUCAUUCCUGCCUUCGAGAAACUGGGAGCAUAGAAGGGUAGACAGAGCAGUAACAAAUUUUACUAAAAUGCAGGCUUGCAUGAAAGGGUACCCAGGCUUGGUGGGGAGAACAUCUGACCUGAGGCCAGAGGACCGGGUGGCAGGAAACAGUUGGGGCCAAGCAGAAAGGCAGACGGAGGCCAGCCCCUGUGGGAAGUCCUGCCUGCAGCUUCAGCCUUCGGCGUGGGGGGCAGACUUGGAGGGAAGCAAGCUGUAGACAGCACCGUGCCCUAAAAAGCCUCGAAUGCAACACCAGAAAGCCUGGGCUUGGUCCUCAGAGCCACCGGAAGCCACUCACGCUUUUCAGAGGGAUAAGGAGAGAAAGCCGUUUUAGAAAAGGCCUCCAGCAGCUAUGUGCAGAGUGGGGAGGCCAGAGGACCCCAGGGGCAGUCCCAGCCAUGCAAACAAAAUGAGAUGCCAGACUAAGCAAAGGCUUCAGGAACGAGGUGAAGGGAGGGGGACCCCCUCCAGAGAGAAACUCGAAUGUCCCGGGCAUGAUGGCCAGGUGGACACGUAAGGUAGAGAAGAGGGACUCCUUCGGCAAACUCAGCAAGUGUUCAGCACCUACUGUGUGUUCGGGGUGCUCAGGAGAUCUCUGGGGCCAUGGGAGUAAAUGAAAAAUAAAUAGCACAGGAGAAGGCAGGAAGUGCCAGGGGGCAGCAACGGUGCCAGCUGAGGGGGGUGGGGGGUCGCGGGCGGGAAGACCAUGCAAUUUUCCGUGGGAAGACAGGGAGAUGUCACCACGGAAGUUAGGGCAUGAGCCCUGUGGGUAUCUGGGGGAAGAAGAUUCUAAGGAAAAGCGCAAAGGCCCAGGGUGGGAGCGUGUCUGGCAUGUCCAAGAAGCAACAUGGAGGGCAGUGUGGCUGGAACAGUUGGGGGGCAAGUAGGAAGAGGGGACAGCAGAGAGGUUGGGGGCCACACGUUGAGCUGUGUAGGUCAUGGGGUCUUAACAGAGAGGGGGAAGGGCAGCUUUUAGAGAGUCUGGGAGGCCAAGGAGUGAUAUGAUCCAUUUAUAUGUUUAAAGAGUCGCUCUACGGUCGCCUGGGUGGCUCAGUCGGUAAGGCAUCUGACUGUUGGUUUCGGCUCCGGUCAUGAUCUCGCCGUUCGUGAGUUCGAGCCCCACAUCGGGCUCUGUGCUGACAGCGCGGAGCCUGCUUGGGAUUCUCUGUCUCUCUCUCUCUCUCUCUCUGCUCCUCCCCCUCACAUACAUGUGCUCUCUCUCUCUCUCAAAAUGAAUAAACAUUUUAAAAAAACAAAAAAAUAAUCACUCUAGCUGCUGGGUUGAGGAUAGAUUGCAGGGUAUAAGGGUGCAAGCAAGAGACAGUGGGGAGGCUACUGAGUUCCUCAAGGCGGGAGAUGACAGUGUCUUGUACAGGGUAGGAGGGCCCCUGGAGUAGGGUACUAUUGAGUUCUGACCUCAGGCCCUUCCUCUCUGCCCUCAGUCACUCCAUUCUAUAGCCACCAGCCUCGUCAUUGUUCUGCAAACAUGCCAGGGCCACCUCAGGGCCUUUGCACCCGCUGUUCCCUCUCCCUGCAAUACUUUUUCCCCAGGUGUCCACAGGCCUCAUUCAGCUCUUUACUCAAAUGUCACAUUCCCAGCAGGCCUUUCCUGGCCACCUUACCCAAAAUUUAUACCACCACCCCCAGCUACCCACAGACUCAUGAACACACACCUCCCAUCUUCCUUCCUUGCAGUACGUUCUCUCCUUAGCAUAUUUUAUUACCUGAUAUGGUUGCAUUUUCCUUGUUUAUCCUAUGCACUGCCGGCCUUGCCCAAUGAAAUGUAAGCUUCAUGAGGUCAGGAUAAGUGUGAAAUGCCAGUAGACACCCAAGUAGAGAUGUCUGGGAGGCAGGUGGAAUUGAGUCUGGAAUCUGGGAGAGCCAUCUGAGCCGGAAAUAGAGCUGCGGGCAUGAUCAACCUAAAGUCAGUGUUUAAAACCCCAAGCUGGGGGGGUGCCUGGGUGGCUCAGUCAGUUAAGUGUCGGACUUCAGCCUCAGGUCAUGAUCUCACAGUUCGUGAGUUCGAACCCCGCGUCCGGCUCUGUGCUGACCGCUCGGAGCCUAAGGUCUGCCUCAUAUUCUGUGUCUCCCUCUCCCUCUCUGCCCCUCCCCUGCUUGCACUCUAUCUCAAAAUAAAUGAAUAUUUAAAUAAAUAAGUAAGCGGGGAUGAAAUUGCCAGGAGAACGCAAAGGGAAGAGAUUACAAAGACUCUUCUGAGAAGGACACUGCCUACAUUUUGCAGCAGAGACGUGCGGAAGAAGCAGCAAAGGAAAUUGACACCGAGUAGAAAGUCCAAGAGCGUGGCGCCCUGGGAGCCACGGCUGUGAUGAGAGGAGUCAGGGAUGGAUGAGAGCGGCGUCUGCAGGUUGGGAUCUGGGAGGAGUGGGGCUGUUGCAGCAAAGCAGUGAGGAGCAGGUGCGGAAGAGGCAUCGGCAGGUGUGGACAGAACGAAUAGAGAAUGACGUCAUAGCCUGAGAACCAGCAGAGAGGGGGCAGCUGUGACAGGGGCAUGCUUGCAGGGGACUGAUGGAUGGAGAGCACCAUCAGCAGGGACGCUGACCUCGGGCAGGAGGAGAGACCCCUUUAUUACCAAGGAGGAGGAGAGGUGAGGAAGGCUUGAGCAAGUGCCUGGCUUCUUUAGCUUCUGUUUUCUCUGUGAAACAGGAAAAGAGAUCAGCUGCUCCAGAGGAGGCAAAGGCGGGGAAGUAAAGGCUCAGGGGGCUGGCGCAGGACUUCGGGAGAGCGGGCUGAGGGUGAGCGGCGAGGUCACUGGACGCCCCGGACAGAGCUGAGGGCGGGGACCCUAAUGUAUUCAGGGAGCCGGUGAUUCGCUCCAGAGUUAGGGUCUGGAUGGAUAAGUACAACCCAAAUCCAGAAGGAUGCGGACACGGGAAGACUGAGAAGGGGCAUCUGAGGUGUGAGUGGAUAGGAGUCUUGGCUAAGCAGGGAUGAUAGGAGAAACCCAAGAGGCUGGCAGAAGGUCAAAGUACGGAGAAGAAAGAGAGGACGAGAAGCUGCAGUCAGCAGUGGAAACCGGGUUUUAAGUGAAGAAGUGCUCAGGCUUAUUUUUUAAAAGGACCUCCCCAGCUGCUGUGUGCAGGACAAGGUGCGGGGCUUCUGGGGCGGGAGCAAGGGGCUCGCUUAGAGGGGCACUUUGAGGAGCGCCUGGGUGGUUCAGUCCAUUGAGCCUCUGACUCUUGGUUUCAGCUCAGGUCAUGAUCUCAUGGUUUCGUGAGUUUGAGCCCCACAUCAGCCUCAGCGCCGAUAGCGUGAAACCUGCUUGGGAUUCUCUCCCUCCCUCCCUCUCUGCCCCUCCCCCGCUCACGCUAUCUCUGUCUCUCUCAAAAGUAAAUAAAUAAAACUUUUUAAAAAAAACUAUGAAAAGGCUCUUUGGGUAGAUGAGGAUAGUCAUUUGAGGGUGGCACCAAGUGGGGGGAUUCCAGGACCAAUAGUUGUUGGUGACGGAUGGGAUGCAGGGUGUGACAGAGAGAGGGCUUGGAAUGUGUGGAGCACCUACGAUGUGCCAAGCACACGUGGAGAGCUUUCCAGUUUAAAGAUAAGAUAGACAGGGCCGCCUGGGUGGCUCAGUCCAUUAGGCGUCCGACUUCGGCUCAGGUCAUGAGCUCACAGUUGGCGAGUUCGAGCCCCGCGUCCAGCUCUGUGCUGACAGCUCGGAGCCUGGAGCCUGCUUUGGAUCUGUGUCUCCCUCGCUCUCUGUCCCUCCCCCGUCCGUGCUCUGUCUCUGUCUCUGUCUCUUUCUGUCUCAAAAAUAAAUAAGCAUUGGGGGAAAAAAUAAUAAGGGUAAGAUAGGAAACCGACAGUAGCCUGCAGCUUACUUGGCCCUUAGAAGUGAGAAGAUGUGCUAUGGGGAGAGUAAACCUAACCACCAGGUUGGGAGGGGCAGCGCAAGGAGGGCUUCCAGGUGGAGGCACCUCUAGAGCUGGCACUAACAGGUGGAGGAAAGAGGAAGGGCAAUCCAGGAUGAGCAGAGGCCAGAGGGCGGCAAGAAGCGAGCGUGGCCGUUUAGCCAGUGCACGAGAAGACGGAAGUGAAGACUGCUGAAGAGAAGCGGGAGCCACAGGGGAAAGGAGAGCCAGGGUGUGAUGCUGGGCGCCGGGAGAGAGGGGUGGGAACUGAGGGAGGGUGUCCCACGAGGGCCUCUGUUUCUAAUGACAGCUGCCAAGUUGAGCUAGCACACCUGGGCCCUCGGCGUGCAGGGAAGGUUGGGGACGGUGCAGGGAGUGGGAGAGGGAGCCAGCUCGGGGACGGAGAAGGGGGCUGCCGGGUGCUGAGACACAGCGGCCUGGUCUCAGAGCCCCCUGUGCUCAUUGAGGCUUUCCUGUAGCUGGGCUAUGGGGCUGGCAGAGGCGUGCGCCGGGCCCCUGGAGAGGGACGAGAAGGCAAGACAGGCGAGGUUGGCCUGAAGUAGCCACAAGCCCGAAAGUCCAAGUGGCUAGGGACCAGCAAGCUGGGGGUGGCCCAGAAAGGGCUUGUCCACCGAUGUCCCCACAGCAGGCCGGCAUUGCAGGGACAGUGCCCGUCAGCCAAAGGCCCAUCCUCAGGGAUCUCGGGGCAAUUCCCCAUUUCAUCCAUGCACACAAAGGGCCGGGAAGUGCCCACAGGCCCCUCCGACCCCAGAGAUCUUUGCUAGAGGUUGGAGCCGGUGGGGGGCGGGCAGGACAGCGGGGAGAGUGAGACUGGGUGCGGGGAGGCAUGGAGGGCAGACGGCAGCACUCUGGGAAGAGCUGGGUGUGAGGCUCAGAACUGCCACUUGUGAGGGGAACAGAGGUGCUGUUGCCUGUGGAAGCUGGAGCCCAGGCACGGGCGUCUGUAUCUUCCGGGCAAGAUGUCCGCGCACAGUGGGCAGAGAGCACAUGAAACGAUUGUGCCAGAUGCUGUUAGUGACCCUGGACCUUGAGGGGCGCAUGGGCUGACUUGCACCCCAGGCCUGCCGGCAUCUUUGCCCAGGGGCUUUCUCCACCCACCAAAAUCCUCAUCAUCCACUCACACAGCAGGCAGGAAGUGUGGGAAAUUAACACCCUUGGGAGUAGCCCAACCAGUGACUGAUGGGAAGGGGUGUAUAGAUACCCCACCUCCCUCACCCCGCUGGUGGGAUGGCUCUGAGGUCCCUGAACUUCACGGUCUCCCAGAGCUCCCAGUGGGAUUGUGCCCCCCAGUUGCCCGCAGUUCGCACCUUGCACUUGAAUCCUUGUCUCAGGAUCGGCUUCUGGGAGAGCCCAAAGUAAGACAGAACCUCAGCAGGACACAGUAGGAAAAUCUUGGGGCAGAAAGGCUGAGUGGCUCCCAGUUCUUUGUGUGUAAGGAAUUCUCAGCCUGUAGCAAGCUUCUGCACAGGUUGCUUGAGCAUAAAUUAGAAUAGUGUUUAUAACACAGCCCGGGGCAUAGUACAAUACUCCAUAUCACCCACCGAUCUGAGUAAACACCACGCUGAUAACCAUGCUGUUUGGCCGGCUUCAGGCUCGCAGCUGAAUGCAUAGUCCACUGAUUUGUCAUCCUGCGCUAAAUAUAAAAGAAUUGUGGCCUGAGUCAGAGUUAUUUUCAGCACUGUGUCUUACUUUGCAGCCAUUGAGGGAUGCUAUUCAGAGAGCCACCUUCCUGGAGCCUGAGGUCAACCCUGGUGGCCCCCACAUUCCGAGGACAACUGUCCAACUCCUCUCCCGGGGGAAACUAUCUUCUCAACAAAUGCUGACUGAUUGCCCAGCCUCCCCCGAACCCACCAGGUCUCGGCUUCUGUUCCUGGCUUCUCUCCAGAGCUGGGAGCUGCGUCCCUUCCCGGGGCUGAGUUGUCCUCUCUCAAAAGCCACAGAAUAGGGAGAGGGGAAAUAAAGACACACCAGUGUUUUCAUUAAGAGCCUGCUAAGUCCUGCCUCUGAGAUGUAUUAAUCUUCACAAAUCCCUUCCUAGGAAAUAUUCUUUUGAUUUACUUAUCUUGAUUUUUUUUAAUGUUUAUUUCUUUUUGAGACAGUGACAGAGCACGAACGGGGGCGGGGUAGAGAGAGGGAGACACAGAAUCCAAAGCAGGCUCCAGGCUCCGAGCUGUCGGCACAGAGCCGGACGCGGGGCCCGAACUCACGGAUCUCGAGACCUGAGCUGAAGUCGGACGCUGAACCGACUGAACUCCCCAGGCGCCCCGAGAAAUAUUCUUGUAUUUCACAGAAAACGUGAGACUUGGAUGGCCAAAUAACUUGCUCAGGGCUGCGUGACCACAGUAUGGGAGGCCUGUCCCUCGUGUUGCUGUGUGACCUUCCUCUUCUGCCACCACCACCGUGUCUCUUGGUACCAGGAAUUCUCCCUAUGGCGGGAGGUGGGUGCUGUGCAAGGGCUCCCGGGUCAAAGAAGGGGGCACGGUGCCUCUGCCCCCUCUGGAGGGGACCCUGCUCGUUUUUCUUUGGGGGCAAAGAGAAGAGAGAGCGGGUCCCCUGACUUGUCAAGGACCCCUGCCCCUGGCCUGCUCAGCCUCACGGGCACCCACCCACAGCUUUUGCCUGGGAUGCCAUGCUCUCGCCACCUUCCCCCUCCCCCUGCUGCUGCUGAGAAUGUGAGCAUGAGACGGUGGCUUUUGCCUUCUGGGUCGUGCCCUCGCAUUUCGUCAGGUGCCUUUUGAAGACGUGACUCUUUCAGGUCCGUGGUGGGGAUGCCAGGGGAGAAGUUUGUGAGGAGGGUCUUUCUGACACAGCUCAGAUCCUAGUGCACCUACUCCCUCCUGCCUGGUGCUCUGCUCCCGCAAAGCCAUCCCCAGAGGCUUGCCUGACCACUUCCGCUGAGACAGCCCCCCUGACCUGCAUUCCAACAGCCAUGGGCAUUGUGUUUAUUGAGCCUUAAUUCUAGGCUCUGUCUCUUGCCUGCUUGAAAAUAUCCAUGACUCCCAACUACUCACAAAUAAAUACAGAGAUUCCCAGCAUUUUUUUUUAAAAAAUUUUUAUGUUUAUUAUUUUUGAGAGAGACAGAGCACUAGCGGGGGAGAGGCAGAGAAACAGAGGGAGACACAGAAUCUGAAGCAGGCUCCAGGCUCCGAGCUGUCAGCACAGAGCCCAACGCGGGGAUGGAACUCGUGAACCUCAAGAUCAUGACCUGAGCCAAAGCCGGAUGUUUAACCGACUGAGCCACCCAGGCGCCCCUGAAAUUUCCAGCAUUUAAGGCUCUUCACCAUCUGUCCCAAAUGACAUUUCCUCGGCGUAUCCCAUAGGACACUCCCAGGCCCCAAAGUUGUAAUCCUCUUACCCACCUGUCCCCUCCACCCCUAACACCUGCUCCUCGUCCUGCCAGACUCCAGUCCAUCCUGUGAGAACCCUGGCAGCCCCACCCCCACCCCACAUGCUGAACACUGCCGUCACCCCAUCUUCAUUCCCUUGGUAUUUUAUGCACAUAGCUACUGAGAGAACCUGGCCAUGUUUGUUGUGAGCCCAGCGCAGUGCCUGAUGUGGGGCAAGCCUUGGUCAACAUUUAAUUCAAAAGUUCUUACCCUUUUUGUGCUAGAGACUACCUGGGCAUCUGGCAAGCUUGUGGAGCCCUUCUUAAGAGUUAUGCUUUCAAAUGCAUACGCUAAAACACAGAGGAUUGCAAAUAAAACCGAUUUCACUGAAAACAUCAAGAUAUUUGUGAAUGAAAUCUGUGAUCUAGUAAGUGAUGUGCUUCUGGGUUAAGGCAUUAAAUAGCAGGGUUAUCUAGUGGUGGGUUCUGAUGAUUGUCGUUUCCAAAUAGGAGCAUACACAACAUUGCAAAGCAUCUGCAGCAACUGAAUGUGAUAGGAAAAUAUCUGCGGGAACUGUAAUCUUGGGUGGAAUCAUGUGAAACUGCCAAGCCAGCACCAGUUUUGAGCGACAAGAACCGUGAUUUCCUAUGGUUGGGUCUCAUUCUAUUCGGGUUUAUUGGCUACACUCAUCAUGGAGGGAAAUGCUCCAUAUCAGGUAGAAGUGAAUAAAAUGGAAGAUGAUUUUUCCUCCUCCAAGUUCGUGGACCCUUCGAAUUCUCUCAGGGACCCCUUGGGGGAGAUACGUUGAGAGCCCCUGGUGGAUGACCUUGCGCCUGAGGGCAUCUAACAGGCGUGGGUCUCUGCCCCCUCCCUCCCCGCAGGCUCCCUGUUCCCGCAGCUGAAGCCCUCGGAGGGCGUCUUCAAGGUGAUCUUCUGGCUCGGCUACUUCAACAGCUGCGUGAACCCGCUCAUCUACCCCUGCUCCAGCCGCGAGUUCAAGCGCGCCUUCCUCCGCCUGCUGCGCUGCCA
rnacentral:lncRNA from 1 species